UACAGAGGUCCCAAGCGUUGUUCGGAUUCACUGGGCGUAAAGGGUGCGUAGGUGGCCAGGUAAGUUUGGUGUGAAAGCUCGGAGCUUAACUCCGAAAAGUCAUUGAAUACUAUCUGGCUGGAGGGUCGGAGGGGAGACUGGAAUUCUCGGUGUAGCAGUGAAAUGCGUAGAUAUCGAGAGGAACACCAGUGGCGAAGGCGAGUCUCUGGACGACUCCUGACGCUGAGGCACGAAAGCUAGGGGAGCAAACAGG
rnacentral:rRNA from 1 species